AUUGAACGCUGGCGGCAGGCUUAACACAUGCAAGUCGAGCGGGGUGAUGUAGCUUGCUACAUUACCUAGCGGCGGACGGGUGAGUAAUGCUUAGGAAUCUGCCUAUUAGUGGGGGACAACAUUCCGAAAGGAAUGCUAAUACCGCAUACGCCCUACGGGGGAAAGCAGGGGAUCUUCGGACCUUGCGCUAAUAGAUGAGCCUAAGUCAGAUUAGCUAGUUGGUGGGGUAAAGGCCUACCAAGGCGACGAUCUGUAGCGGGUCUGAGAGGAUGAUCCGCCACACUGGGACUGAGACACGGCCCAGACUCCUACGGGAGGCAGCAGUGGGGAAUAUUGGACAAUGGGGGGAACCCUGAUCAGCCAUGCCGCGUGUGUGAAGAAGGCCUUUUGGUUGUAAAGCACUUUAAGCGAGGAGGAGGCUACCGAGAUUAAUACUCUUGGAUAGUGGACGUUACUCGCAGAAUAAGCACCGGCU
rnacentral:rRNA from 1 species